GAUGAACGCUGGCGGCGUGCCUAAUACAUGCAAGUCGAACGCUGAAGGAGGAGCUUGCUCUUCUGGAUGAGUUGCGAACGGGUGAGUAACGCGUAGGUAACCUGCCUGGUAGCGGGGGAUAACUAUUGGAAACGAUAGCUAAUACCGCAUGACAACAGUUAUUGCAUGAUAACUGUUUAAAAGGGGCAACUGCUCCACUACCAGAUGGACCUGCGUUGUAUUAGCUAGUUGGUGAGGUAACGGCUCACCAAGGCGACGAUACAUAGCCGACCUGAGAGGGUGAUCGGCCACACUGGGACUGAGACACGGCCCAGACUCCUACGGGAGGCAGCAGGAGGGAAUCUUCGGCAAUGGACGGAAGUCUGACCGAGCAACGCCGCGGGAGUGAAGAAGGGUUUCGGAUCGUAAAGCUCUGUUGUAAGAGAAGAACGAGUGUGAGAGUGGAAAGUUCACACUGUGACGGUAUCUUACCAGAAAGGGACGGCUAACUACGUG
rnacentral:rRNA from 1 species